GCAUUUUUGUUACUUAAUACAGGAAGGAAGAAGACGGCUGGCCUGUGGCCGGGCCAGAAAAACUCCCCGCCACCAUCCAGAACGAGGUGGAGAGCUGAACACUGGUACAGGCAGCCAAGACCCGGGCUGGCUGCUCAGGGUAAGAGACUCACCGAGUUCAAGUUUAAAAAAAAAAAAAAAUUCUGCGUUUUUUUUGUAAAACAUUUGUGCAGCGUUGGCGUGUUGAAAAGGAGUCGUGUGCUCAGCUUGGGAAGUUUGCACUGGGAGGUGGAGCCGCUGGGUCAGGGCAGCAGGAACUGUCGAGUGUCGGUAGGCAGUAGAUACUGUUCCGGACUCCAGAAAAUCCAGGCAGGCCGAGGCGGAGGGGUCGAGAGAAGCGGGGCCUGUGUCUUCACUUCAGUGCAGCGGUUGUUGGCGGAGGCCCCACCCGUGGCCGCUGUGGCCUGGGCUCUGUGCUCAGGGAAGGGGCGCACCCCAUCUUGGAGGCGCCAGGCCUGUAUGGGCAGCCCUGCAUGUGUGCCUUGUGUGGCAGGCUCUUCCCCCAGCACCGUGUGUCCUGAUUCUUUUUUUUUUCUUUUAAGACUUCAUUUAUUUAUUCGACAGAGACAGCCAGCGAGAGAGGGAACACAAGCAGGGGGGUGGGAGAGGAAGAAGCAGGCUCCCAGCGGAGGAGCCCAAUGCGGGGCUUGAUCCAGCACUCUGGGAUCACGCCCUGAGCCGAAGGCAGACGCUUAACGAUUGAGCCACCCAGGCGCCCCCUGUGUCCUGAUUCUUAAUCCUCCCGCCAUUGUGUUUUAACUGCCCAGAGCCGGCAAUUCAUUAUUUCUUAACGAUUUUAUUUUAGAGCAUGAGUGGUGGGGUGGGGGGGGAGCAGAGAGAGAAUCUGAAGCAGAUUCCAUACUCAGCGUGGAGCCCAACAUGGGGCUUGAUCCCACGACCCUGAGAUUGUGGCCUGAGCUGAAGUCUAGAGCCGGACGCUCAACUGAUGGAGUCACCCCGGCACCCCAGUUCUAAACUGCUUUCGUGCUGUGUUUGGGUUAUUCACCCCCACCCCCACAAAGGAGAAAAUCUAGAUGGGGAAGAAAGUUACUUGGAUGUAGGGAGGAUGAGUUUUAGGGAUACUAAAAAUACGAGUAUUACAGUUGAAGUUUUGGAAUACGUUUUUCAAUAAAAGUGUUUCUCUGUUGGCA
rnacentral:lncRNA from 1 species